GACGAACGCUGGCGGCGUGCUUAACACAUGCAAGUGGAGCGACGAACCAGGCUUCGGCCUGGGGCAGAGCCGCGAACGGGUGAGUAACACGUGGGUAACCUGCCUCGAUGACUGGGACAACCCGGGGAAACCCGGGCUAAUACCGGAUGUGCUGCCCCCACCUAAGUGGGGGUUGGAAAGGAAGCUGCGGCCUCCGCACCGAGAUGGGCCCGCGGCCCAUUAGCUUGUUGGUGAGGUAACGGCUCACCAAGGCCGCGAUGGGUAGCUGGUCUGAGAGGACGAUCAGCCACACUGGGACUGAGACACGGCCCAGACUCCUACGGGAGGCAGCAGUGGGGAAUCUUGCGCAAUGCGCGAAAGCGUGACGCAGCAACGCCGCGUGGGGGAAGAAGGCCUUCGGGUUGUAAACCCCUUUCAGGAGGGACGAAGGUCGGGCGGUGAAUAGCCGACCCGACUGACGGUACCUCCAGAAGAAGCCCCGGCUAACUACGUGCCAGCAGCCGCCGUAA
rnacentral:rRNA from 1 species